rnacentral:tRNA from 1 species
GUUACCGUAGCUUAAUAAAAGCUUAAUAUUGAAGAUAUUAGGAUGGGCCCUUAAAAGCCCCGGAAACA